AUUGAACGCUGGCGGCAUGCCUUACACAUGCAAGUCGAACGGCAGCACGGGUGCUUGCACCUGGUGGCGAGUGGCGAACGGGUGAGUAAUACAUCGGAACAUGUCCUGUAGUGGGGGAUAGCCCGGCGAAAGCCGGAUUAAUACCGCAUACGAUCUACGGAUGAAAGCGGGGGACCUUCGGGCCUCGCGCUAUAGGGUUGGCCGAUGGCUGAUUAGCUAGUUGGUGGGGUAAAGGCCUACCAAGGCGACGAUCAGUAGCUGGUCUGAGAGGACGACCAGCCACACUGGAACUGAGACACGGCCCAGACUCCUACGGGAGGCAGCAGUGGGGAAUUUUGGACAAUGGGCGAAAGCCUGAUCCAGCAAUGCCGCGUGUGUGAAGAAGGCCUUCGGGUUGUAAAGCACUUUUGUCCGGAAAGAAAUCCUUGGCUCUAAUACAGUCGGGGGAUGACGGUACCGGAAGAAUAAGCACCGGCUAACUACGUG
rnacentral:rRNA from 1 species